UCUCUCUCUCCCUGGCAUUUCCGUUUCCGUUCUGAUUCCUUCCUCAGUUUCAUUUAGAGCGCGUCUGGUGGCGUUGGCAGUGCGGCAACUCGCGGCGUAUUUCAGCUGCAGUAAUUGCAGCGAGAGCAGUGAAUGCUGGCUGGUAGACUGAGCUAUGACACCGGUUGUGAGUAACCAUAUAGCGUUGCAUCUAACGUUUAUUCAAUAACAAUCUUAAGGGGAAAUUAAAACAUCUUAGUCUUCAUCCUGGCCAAUGAUUUCAGGCAACGCAGCUGCUGUUUUGCUUAGGGACGCAUUUUGGAGUCCGAUCUGCACUUUACGGUCUUUUGUGCUUUAAUACUUUGAGAGUUUACGAAGCUGUAAAGACUGAGUAUUUUCUCCGCAUGGACUAUCUACCAGUUGAGGUUCUGGAUUGUUUUUUUUCUUCUAACCGUAAUUUUUUGUUUGGUUAUAUUGGUCUUUUUGGUAUUGAUUUGUUUACCCUGCAUUUUCUUUUGUAAGCAUAUUGUAUGCUGCAAGGGUUAUUUCUUUGAGUAUUUAUUGAUUUUGAUUUACGUUUUGUGCGUGGUGUUCUCUGGAUGCUCGAGUGCCAGAGUCGCAACAAAGUGUUUAUUAGUUU
ensembl:lncRNA